rnacentral:miRNA from 1 species
GGGGGGGGGGGGGGGGGAGCG